GAACGGCACCACCUUGACUGGAGCCUGCCGCUUAAUUUGACUCCUGCGGGAAAACUUACCCGGCCCGGAGAGACUCAGGAUUGACGAUUGAGAGCUCUUUCUUGAUUCAGUGGGUGGUGGUGCAUGGCCUGUCUGGUGUGGCGGAGCCAUUUGUCUGGGUAAUUCUGAUAACGAACCUUACUCUAGCCUACUAAAUAGACUGUUCAGCUUUAUAGCUGCAUCACCGGGGGCCUUGCUCGCAAGGGCGGCGCGCUCGGCUGUGGUGACUCUGACAGUGCUUCUUACAGGGACAGGCGGCAGUUGAACCGCACUAAUUUUAGCAAUAACAGGUCUGUGAUGCCCUUAGAUGUCCGGGGCCGCACGCGCUCUACACUGAAGUGAUCAGCGUGCAAUUUAUGUUUGGUGAUCUGUCAAGAUUGCCCAACCCGUAGAACCUUCUUCAAGAGUGGGAUAAAGGAUUGUAUUACUUUCCUUGAACGAAGAAUUCCCAGUAAGUGCAAGUCUUAAGCUUGCUUUAUU
rnacentral:rRNA from 1 species